rnacentral:rRNA from 1 species
AAGCGAAGGCGAUCUGCUGGGAUGAUACUGACGCUGAGGCACGAAAGCGUGGGGAGCAAACAGGAUUAGAUACCCUGGUAGUCCACGCCCUAAACGAUGAAUGCUAGUCGUCGGGGAGCUCGUCUCUUCGGUGAUGCACUUAACAGAUUAAGCAUUCCGCCUGGGGAGUACGGUCGCAAGAUUAAAACUCAAAGGAAUAGACGGGGACCCGCACAAGUGGUGGAGCAUGUGGUUUAAUUCGAAGAUACACGAAGAACCUUACCUGGCCUUGACAUGGUAGGAACCCUUAAGAGAUUAGGGGGUGCUAGCUUGCUAGAACCUACACACAGGUGCUGCACGGCUGUCGUCAGCUCGUGUCGUGAGAUGUUGGGUUAAGUCCCGCAACGAGCGCAACCCUCGUCUUUAGUUGCUAACAGUUCGGCUGAGCACUCUAAAGAGACUGCCUUCGUAAGGAGGAGGAAGGUGAGGACGACGUCAAGUCAUCAUGGCCCUUACGGCCAGGGCUACACACGUGCUACAAUGGGGCGUACAAAGAGCUGCAAUACCGCGAGGUGGAGCCAAUCUCUUAAAGCGUCUCUCAGUUCGGAUUGUUCUCUGCAACUCGAGAACAUGAAGCUGGAAUCACUAGUAAUCGUAGAUCAGCUAUGCUACGGUGAAUACGUUCCCGGGUCUUGUACUCACCGCCCGUCACACCAUGGGAGUUGAUUUCACCCGAAAUCGGGAUGCCAAACUGGCUACCGCUUACGGUGGAAUUAGCGACUGGGGUG